rnacentral:RNase_P_RNA from 1 species
AUGGCCCGCAAGGGUACAGGUAAGGGUGAAAGGGUGCGGUAAGAGCGCACCGCGCGGCUGGUAACAGUCCGUGGCACGGUAAACUCCACCCGGAGCAAGGCCAAAUAGGGGUUCACAUGGUGCGGCCCGCACUGAACCCGGGUAGGCUGCUUGAGCCAGUGCGUGAGUGCUGGCCCAGAGGAAUGAUUGUCCACGACAGAACCCGGCUUAACGGCUGACUCCUCAC